rnacentral:lncRNA from 1 species
CCAAAAGAAGAACGACAUGACAGUUUUGGAGAUUUUAGAAAAUUUGUCUGCUUUUUUUCAGUUUCAGAGAGACGUAAUAUUUCAUGGUUUAUGCCAAUAAAUUUCAAUUGAAAAACUGCAGAUGCGCAGUCGAGUGGCAGCAAGUUUAGCUUCUUUUGGAUUCAUCACAAUAUCGCCAAAUGUAAAAAAUACAUUUUAGAAAAAUAUUGUCGAAUCAAAACGAAAAAGUUUACAAAGAUACUACAAGAAUAUAUGUGAUUAAUAGAAAUCAUAGAAGCCAGGGCUACAAAUCAUUUUGCUCUUCAACGCUCAGUUUUCGAGUAAUAUUAUCAGUCUCGGUACUUUUUGAUUAGCUUAUAUAGCUCGGUACCAUAUUGCCUCGUAUACACACGAAUGUAAAGUUUUUAGAAACUUGAGUAUUUUAUAUCAAAUUUGGCAGGAAAACAAAGUUGCCAUGACCAUGAUAAUUUAUUUCUUUGAUAUUACAAAAGUCAGAGUAUUAUACAUAUUAAAAAAAACCUAACAAAUUUCACUGUAUAAAAUAUAUAAUACAACGUUAGAUUUCUUUACAUUUCCGGGUAAUUAUUUAUCGUAUGGCCGAAAGACAACACAAACAACGUGAAAUACAUAUAAUAAACACAGUGGAAUACAAUAAAAAAUUAUAAAUCAUAUCAUAAAAUACGUAUAAUCAAAUCAUCAUUACGAAUAAUCAUCGUACCAUGUACACAAACGGGAAGAAUGCAAUAAAGUUUAAUCGGACGAGAAUAAAUUCCUACAUGCACAUUUUGAUAUCGCAUUUAAAGGUUAUGUAGAAUAUUUAAAUAUUUAAAUAAUAUUUUAUAAUAGUAUAGUACGCAUUAAAACGUCUCAUUUAUUAAGAUUAGGUUGAAAAGUUUGAAUCGACAUAAUUUAAACAUACGAUAAUUAUUAGGUCAUCGUGAUUGUGUAGGUAUACACAAGUGUACUGCAGGUUUCGAGUACAUUUUAUUUUAGUUUAUUCUGAACAGCAUAAACGCAUAAUAAUAUUAAAUUUUAUUCUAAAAACAGUAUAUUCCAUUUUAGAUCCUGAGUGUAGCGAAGAAUGUUUUUGUUUUACAUAGAUAUUUAUUUGUUUUUUCUUUUUAUGUGGACACUUUUUCUACUAAAAAUCUUAAUCCGAUGUACACGAUGUAGACCUUUUUUUGGAAGGAAAUUUUCUAGAGGUGCUGUUUUAGGGAGGUAAUAUUUUGAUUUUCUCAAAAGGUUUCCCAGCAAAUGAAAAAAACCGGGAGAAAAACAUAAAAAACAUAGAAAAAACGGGAAACUGGUACAAUAUUAAACAAAUGUUAUUAAAUAAAAUAUAUAAUGUCUACUUAAUUAUUUAAAAAUAAUAUAACAUACAUGUUAUUGACAAAGCAUCACUAUCUACUGAACUCCACUCAAAAUCGUUUUUAGUAAGCAAUAAUUUAUUGUUGCUUAUACAGAUACAAAUUAAUUUUCCCUCUAUAUUCUACCUUCCCAAUUUCUCACCAACAAUAGUGGCUGCACCCAUCGUGCGAAGUGUAUCCGUCUUUUUUAAACUCAGAUUCAAUAGGAAAAUGUUUUAUCUAUAAAAGUGUUGUUUUAGAUAACAUUACUAUGUGUAUUAUCGAAUAUACCGUACACGAUUUAUAACAUUUUAAAACGGAAUAAUAGCUAUGCAUAUCAGGAAAUAGUAAGGUAUUUUACAUCCGUGUUUAGACAAUGUUCCCUUCCAAUUCGCCCUAAAAAACCAACCAAAAUCAAAUUUACUCAAAGUCUUCAUAGAAGAUGGAUUCAUGAUAAAAUAAUUGAUUCAUUGACAACAAUUGACUAAUAUUUUAAUUUUAUAUUAGGCUGUGCUUUUACCCUAAAACUGAAAUUAAGAGAGUUUUGCAUAAAUUAUAAGAAUAGUUUUGUUAUGCUACUAACGGGUAACAUUCGUCCAUUUAACGAGAUAGACUGUGACAGUUCAUGCGGUUAUCACGUCCUUUCGGUAUAAUUGAAUAAUAUAAUAUACUUUAUUGUAAAAUCGCUUUUCGACGUUUCACCAUAGAAACCAAAAUACGACAAUUAUUAAUAUUACUUCUUAUCUGCCGUGCAGUAUAUAAUUCACCAACUAAUCGAAACACGUCCGACCCGAAACAAACGUGCGGUAAUUUAAAGUAAUCGCCGCCCCGCAUUUUCAUUAGUCACCUGCAGAAAACAAAACGAGUAGGUAACCCGCUGUAGGUGAUUUUAUUCCCCCCUCCUAAUUUUCUUUUGUUUUGUAUAGGGCGGAAACAAAAUAUCCCUAUGGAUGCAGAAGAUUUCGAUAAAAAUCUAUGUAUGGAUUUAUCAAUAAACCUGCAGUCCCUAAAAUACGGACCCGUUCGUCACAUGAACAGUUUAAAUAUAAUAUAUAUAGGAGUGUGUUUUGUUUCCCCCACUAAGAGUAUUAUAUUAUAAUACUUAAUUCCCAAAAAUGUUUACGGUACAUGCCAUUUUCUCCGACACGAUUCACUAAUUGAUAUCAUCAGUGGCGUGGUAAAAAUGUUAUUUAAGUAUCAUGGAAUUUUUGGGUUGUUGUUGAAUGAGUGGAUCCCGACUCCCAGGUGAAUUUAAAAAUUAAUUCUGAUAUUUCAUUAUUUGUUUCAACGGUGAAGUGGGAUAACUGCGACGGGAUUUGAAAAAAUUCAACUUAAACUGGUGAUAUCUCACGAAAUAUUUUUUUUUUUUAAAUUAUGAUGACCAGUGUAAUAUAAUGUUAUAAAAAUGUUUUAUCUAGAUCCACUGUCAAAAUUGAGUAAAAUUAUUUUAAUAUAUUUUUAAAAUUAAAAAUAUUUUAAAAAAACGUCACACUUGCCCCUCGACAAAAGGUAGGUGCAUAAUAAAACAUUAAAACCAUUGUUAUUUCAUAGUGGGGCAACCAUAUAAUAAUGUUAGUUUAUUACUUGUAGAAUCUAUAAUGAUUAAAUAUUCUGUAUUCAAUUGCAAUUAUUUUAAAUCGAAUUCCUAUAUUUAUUUAUUUACUGAUUUAUUACUAAUAACGUCGUUUUGAUAAAUAUUUAUCAAAAUGUUCACGAUGUCAACACGACAAAUGUAAACGGUAUACGCCAGUAUAGCGAGUAAACGUUGCCGCAGAGCCACGAUCGCGCGAUUCUUCCAUGAAAAUGAAAAAGGCAAAACAUGAGCGAACCGGUUGGCGAUUUUCUAUCAUUCUUUCGUACACCAUGAACAUAUCAUAAACCAUACUAUCAACUAUUCUUCCCGUUGGCGCUUUCCCGUUUAUCCGUUUUUUGGAUCUUGGUUCACCAAUUCUCUACGCUAGUCUAUCCAUCGGAUCCUGUGAACUGUGAAGUGAUAUCUACGUUUUUCACGUCUUCAUGUACACAAUCCAACUUUUGUUUGGUCAUCCACGGCUCUGAAUGCCUUCUGAACUCUCUAAAUUAAGUGGUUAUCCUCUUUUCAUAAUUAUGAUAUACUAUAAUUAUCAGAUAUAGGUACCGUUUAUGAAAUUCAAAACUAAAAUAGUAGAAUCGUAAGGAUAUAUUAAAGUUAAUAUCCAUGCUUUAAAAUGAGAGUAAAAUUUUCAAAAAAUGAUUAAUAUAUAUUGUAAAUAUUUUUAAAGAUUGUAAAACAGCACAAUCAAAUUAACUAAAAAUCUUCAUGGGUAUCAAUUUUAGUUCGUGAAAAAAAAAAUCACUCUGUAUAUUAUAUACUUAAAUAGAUGAUGACGUAUCGCGUCCUUGAGUAGUGUUUCUAGUUUUUUUACCUUGUAUAAUAUAAUACUCGUACAUAUAAUGUGCGUACGAACGCUAUACUUUUUAUUCAUGACCAAAUAUUAUGUGAACAACGCAUAUAGAGUAGGUAUACAGAGUCUUUCAAAUUUCAUAUUACAUUCAAAUUUUGCAUGUAAUCUUUUUUUUGAAAAAAGGUUAACGGAAAUUAAAAAUUUCAAUACCAAUUAACAUUGAAAUAACUAUCUAAAAUAAUAACUUAAACUUCGUUUAUUUAUAGAAUUUUAAAUAAAGGUUUAAAAAUCAAAAAAGGGUUUUGGUUUCACUCCGGAAAAUAAAGGAGACAAAUGUAACAUUUUAGAUUUAGAAUAUACCUUAGAUUUAUAAUAUGAUUCCAAAAUUUUUUUAGAUAAGUCGCAUUAAAAACAAU